ACUACGGGCGGCAGCAGUGGGGAAUAUUUGGCAAUGGGCGCAAGCCUGACCCAGCAACGCCGCGUGAAGGAAGAAGGCUUUCGGGUUGUAAACUUCUUUUAAGAGGGAAGAGCAGAAGACGGUACCUCUUGAAUAAGCCACGGCCAACUACGUGUCAGCAGCCGCGGUCAUACGUAGGUGGCAAGCGUUGUUCGGAUUUACUGGGUGGAAAUGGAGUGUAGCCGGGCUGACAAGUCAGAUGUGAAAUCCCGUGGCUCAACCACUGGACUGCAUAAGAAACUGUCGGUCUUGAGUAUCGGAGAGGCAAGCGGAAUUCCUGGUGUAGCGGUGAAAUGCGUAGAUAUUGGGAGGAACACCAGUGGCGAAGGCGGGCUGCUGGACGACAACUGACGGUGAGGCGCGAAGGCGUGGGGAGCAAACGGGAUUAGAUACCCUAGUAGUC
rnacentral:rRNA from 1 species